rnacentral:lncRNA from 12 species
GGGACCCGGGGACCCCCGGACCCCCGGGACCUCGAGCCGCGGCGCCCACCCGGCAGGACCUGGCGCCCCGCUCGGGAGGAGCGGCCCUCGCACCCGGGGCUCCCGAGCGCAGGAGGAGGGCGCGGGGCGGGCGUGAGGUCCGGGCCGCACAGACUCCCCGAGGGAUGCUCGUCCGACGAGGAGCCCGCGGGGCGAGGGACGCGGUCGGGGCGCGGUCUGGGCGCGGGGUCCGGGCGCGCAGCCUGGGCCCCGGAGGACGGAGGCCGCGGCACACGGACCCUGGGCGCUCGGGGCGGCCGGGCCCAGGGGAUGCGGGGGCAGGUGCCCGCCGGGAGCCGCUCCCGGGCCCCGCGACCGCGCCACGGCCACCAGGCAGAAGGGGCGCGCAGGGUCCCGGUAAAAUCUGCCCUGCGAAAAAUAUGAAGUCGCGACAGGUCGGUCUGCGGGUGAAGGCUGCUCUAGCAGAAACGCGAGAAGUGAGCGGGAGCCCACAAUUUUCGUUUUUACUGUAGAAGUCGGUCAACGAAAUCAAAUGUGAGUGGAGAUUACAUGAACCAGAAGCGAAGUUUGAGCAUAAUUUCCUUAACCACUGGGAAAUCUGUACCGCCUGCCAAAACUUCCAGUGAUGGGGAGAAGAAAGGAAGAGAAGAUGAUUAAAUAUUCAUGGAGUACCCACUACGUGCACGCACCCUGUGGGCGCUAGCUUUACCCAUUAUAUUCCAUAUUAGUCAUUGUUUAUAAAAUAAGAGCUCUUUUUUAAAAAAAACAUGGAUACCUCCUUCUUCUGCAUCCGGACCUCAAAUGGAUAGCUUCUACAAUUAUAUUUUAUUCGCGAGAAUUUCGUUUUUAUUACUUCCUUCUUCGAAGUGACAUAAUUGCUAAGGCUAAUGGAGAGAUCCAAGUGUAAUGAUAUUAAAGUCUGUUUUGUUUAACCGAUUACAUCGUUCAGUGUUCAUCCUGGCUGGGGUGAAAAAAAAAGUGGAAGGUGAGUCAGCAAACGCUGAAUUUCUGCUAACUCUUUAGGUCUCUGUAAAAAUGAAGAAAGAGAAAUCCUGAACUGUUUGGGAGAAGAGGGAAGUUGUAGCUGGAAGGAGGGCACUGGCACUGGCACUGGCACUGAGCGCGUUGUGCCCUCCUCCCCACCCCACCCCCCCAAAAAAAAAGAAAGAAGAAAGGAAAGAAAAGAACACGCAAAACAAAACUUUCCCGUCGCUGUGGAUCAAAGGAACCGAAAACAUGACCCACUUUGCGAGGGUUGUGCAAACACCGUGGCUUAUAUUGACCAUUGAUAUAGGCUGAGUGAGGCCACGCCUCUACUCGUGUCUCCGUGGAGGCCUGUGGAACUGAGGGUACCGGCAGNNNNNNNNNNAGACAC